rnacentral:rRNA from 1 species
GACAGAGGCCUCGAGCGUUAGGCGGAAUCACUGGGCUUAAAGCGUGUGUAGGCGGACGCCUAAGUACCUUGUGAAAUCCCACGGCUCACCCGUGGAACUGCUGGGUAUACUGGGCGUCUUGGGCCGUUCAGGGGCAACUGGAACAAGCGGUGGAGCGGUGAAAUGCGUAGAUAUCAGGAAGAACAUCGGUGGCGAAGGCGCUCUGCUGUACCAUAACUGACACUCAGGGACGAAAGCUAGGGGAGCGAAUGGG